AACGAACGCUGGCGGCAGGCUUAACACAUGAAAGUCGAGCGCCCCGCAAGGGGAGCGGCAGACGGGUGAGUAACGCGUGGGAAUCUACCCAUCUCUACGGAGUAACGCAUGGGAACGUGUGCUAAUACCGUAUACGUCCUUCGGGAGAAAGAUUUAUCGGAGAUGGAUGAGCCCGCGUUGGAUUAGCUAGUUGGUGGGGUAAAGGCCUACCAAGGCGACGAUCCAUAGCUGGUCUGAGAGGAUGCUCAGCCACACUGGGACUGAGACACGGCCCAGACUCCUACGGGAGGCAGCAGUGGGGAAUAUUGGACAAUGGGCGCAAGCCUGAUCCAGCCAUGCCGCGUGAGUGAUGAAGGCCCUAGGGUUGUAAAGCUCUUUCACCGGUGAAGAUAAUGACGGUAACCGGAGAAGAAGCCCCGGCUAACUUCGUGCCAGCCGCCGCCGUAAAAC
rnacentral:rRNA from 1 species